AGAUGUGAAGUAUGGUGUACGUGUACGUACGUCAGUGGGCGGGGUUUAUACCGCAAUUUAAAAGAGUGCCGGCCUUAAAUUUAGAAUCAGAAAUCUUUUUGUUAUUGCUGUUGAGUUUUGUUGAAAGGUGCAGCAUUGAUUAUCGUUUGGAGGUUUUAUGAAGUGCUGCUUUUAAACUACUGACCAAAACUGACAGCUGCUACAGAUGCAUAGAACAAAUCUAGCGUCUGGGGAUACAGUAAUAUCAGGCAAAAUGAAGACGUCUUUUAAAAAUACUAAUUAUCCGAAAGUUUCUGUUAAAGAUCAGACUGUAGCAGACUGUGCUGGUCAGCUGAGGGAAUUUGGAGAUACGAUAAACAACGAACAGACAUUCUUGAAGCUACUUUUCAAACUGCUGUGCCUUGCAACUUGGAAGUGAGGAGUUUGCUGUGUCUCCGGAAUUUGACGACAUUUAUGGAAGAGCCUUGCCUUGAAAAAUGGAUAAAGACUGGAGUACCCCAGCGCACCUUUGGAGAAUGAAUGUGUACUCAAGAGCUAUGACAAACGGAUAAAGCUUGUGGUAGCCCGCUUAAUUUGACAGGAGUACCGAAGGUUUGCUAUACUGCACGAGCAAAUGUUCUGUUGAACGGUACUCUUUCCGAAGUUCGCUUAUUUUGUCUACUGUUCAGAUCUCUCUACGAAGACUUCUGUCUAACUACACUGAUUUUAGCUAUUUAUGGUCAAUUUUUAGACCACGGUUUGAGAGAGAGUGCGGAAUUCUGUAACUUAUUUGUAAUACUAUUUAUUAUCCAUUUUGCAUUUGAAUUUUUAAUUUGCUAGUCUUAUAGUGAGCCGAGAAAAAUCUGCUGUGCAGAUAAAGGUGCUAAAUGUUCAUAUUUUUAGUGAACAAGUCCAAUUUGUCCAUUAAACUAAUGGGUAUCUCUUUACAAGGAGCUUCAUGAACUGGUAUUGAGAUUGCUUACUUCCUUCAAAGCUUUUGUAAUUGCAUUCAGGGGCUUCCCCCUUCUGCUCCUGAGAAACUAGAUGAAGGUUUUCUCUUCCUAAAAAGAAAGCUAUUUGGGAGUCCCAACCCUAGAGUACAUGGUCUGGCCAAUAUGACAGAACAUUUCUUGAUGCUCCUGUAGUUCUGACCAACAUGACAGUGACUGACUGGCCUGCACAUGUGAGACUGACCUGCUUAAUUACAGUCCUGUGUUAGUAGACUACAGAGCAUAGGUUUCCAUUUCAGCUGUUGCUAACUAAUCCUCAUUGCAUUUUUUUUUUGUUACUGAAGGAUAGCAGUGUUAUUGCUUUUUUUUUUCCCCCAACAUGAAGACCCGGGUCAGUGUAGAGUCUAGAUGCCUCCAAAAUAGGGUUAAAUGUUCUGAUGCCCUUUGCAGGGCCGGAAAACAUAUCUUCUAAGGGCUGAGUGGCCUAGUGGACUAACUCACUAUACUGUAGUCUUAACUAGACCUAUGCAUGCUUUUGGUGAUGUUGGUCAUGUUGAUUCAGCACCAUUUUUCUGAAAUGGCAAAUUCCAGUAUUCAGCGAACCUUGAGGUAAAUGCUUUGCAGGGUCAAGCCCCACUGCAUUAAUGUAAAUAUUACCUACCCCCAAGGUCAUGCACCAGAGGAGAGAAGCUGAAAAAUGAAAAACCUUUGAAACAUUUGUCAGUGAUAUUCCACCAAACUAAGGCCAUCACAGUGAUCCAUGAUCAUUUCUUUACAUGGCUUGGUUCUGCAGUUCAGCUUUGCCAAAGUUAUCACAAAAAGUGAUGUAAACUUGUAGGCCCUCUGUUCAUAUUAAAUGUUAAAAUCUGAUUUGAAAUGUUUCUUUUGUACUUGAAGAAUUUUGUACUUAAAAAAAAAUGUAACAUUUCUACCACAUGCUGGCCAUUUCAGGCUUUAAAGAUGUUUCACUGCAUUGUCUGGAAUUGAAUAAAACUGCAGUAUUUAAGUA